ACUCCCAAAACAUUCCUUGCCCUGGCAUGCACUCUGCGCAGUGUGCCUCCAGCUGGUAGCUGGGAAGAGCUGCAGGAUGGAGGCGCCGCUCAGCAGAGCACCACCACCCGCAGAAGCAGCAGCAGCAGCAGCAGCUGCACGCUCCACACUGCUCGGCGUCUCGCCGGCCGAGCGGUAGGGGGAGCUCAUCUGCCCGCUGUGUGUAGUCAGGUCACGUGCCGGGCAAGAAAACACAGCCGCUGCAAAAACAAAUGCAGCUGGUAGAACAGUCUUGUGCCCACCUGGUCCACGGGUCACUUAGUGAUGGCCUUAAGCAAUCCUUCCGCUUGCCAUAAGCGCACGCCGGGAGUCACCUGAGCUUUCGGCACAAAGGCUGGGGCAGAUGUAACCACCACUUUCUGCUGCUGAGGAGCUCCUCCAACCAAUGCUGUCUUUCCUGGGUGUGCCUGCUGGAUUUCUGCAUUCACGCAGUUCAGCAAAAGCUUGUCUGGAAAGAACAGACUGCCCCGUUGACGCCCACGCUUUUAGGAGUACGUACACGUAUCUAAUGUUGUUAUUAUCUUGAUACACGUGUGUCUGUUUGCUAGCGUUGUCGUGGUUUAGCCCCGCAGACUGAUAAACAGCCCUGUCUCACCGGCCCCAGGUCGGGAGCGGGGACAAAGGCGGGAAGGCAACGGUGCGAGAACUCAGGGGGCUGAGAGCAAGACACCGUACUAGGGAAAGCAAAAACCAGGCCCGCACAACCAGGAAAACGGGGGACACAUUCCCUGCAUGCCAUCGGCAGGCCGAUAUUCAGCCACAUCCAGGAACAGCGCGCUCAGUGCACGUAACCAUCUCUUGGGAAGGCAAGAGCAUCCAUCCCACCAUGACCCAUUCCUCCUGCUUGACACACGCUUUCAUUGCCGAGCGUGACAUCCCGGCCCGUUUGGGCCGGCUGUGUGGCUCCGUCUCCUGGCUGUGGCUGCUCCCAGCUUCUGCUCUGUCCCCUGCCUCCUCGCUGGAUGAACAGCACAAGAAGCAGAAAAGUCCUUGGCUCUGUGCAAGCACUGCUCUGCAGCAGCCAAAAGCACGCGUGUGUUAGCACCUCUGUUUUCACGAAAAGAAUCCAAUAACCAGCACCCGUGAGACUCUGCCAGGCCACGGCACUCAAUCCCAGGCCAAAUCACAACAACUAAAGUACUGCAGUCAGAGAGCAGUGCAGUCUCGGGAGCACCUACUUGUAAGGAAAUGAAAUAGAUUUACUAGCAUGUACCAAGUGCGCUCUCUAGAUGUCGAUGAGAGUGCAUUUUGCUGUACGGCUCCCAGCUUGGCCGGCAGCCCCUUGCCAUCACAGCCCCCCUCUAACUCUCUGUCCUCAGCAGGAUCGGGUGCACAGUAAGUUGGGCAAUCUCCAGCGUUAACACUAACACAGGGAGCUCACUAUACCAAUCACCCUCACAGGCAAAACAAUCUCAACGCGCACUGAGUGGAUUUACAUUACUGCCAAUUGCAAACAGCGGCGGACAGCAAGGAACAAAACCACUUUCCACCUCUCCUCCUCUCGCUACUUCCCAGGCUCCCUUUCUCUCCUUAAUACUCAGUUCCCAGACCUCACCUCCCCACGUGCCUGCCUCGGGACCCACAGCCAUCACAGGCGGUCCGUCACAGCUCCUCCCUGAUGCUCCUUCCUCCUAACACUUCUCCCCAGCACCCACGCGGGCAAACGGAGGGCUGCUGCUUCCCUCAGGACACAUCAGCCUGCUCUGGCAUGCUCUCCUCCUUGGGCUGCAGGGGAAGCUCUGCUCCAGCUCCUGGAGCACCUCUUCCCGCUCCUCCCGCUCCUCCUGCUCUGCCUCCUCCUCCUCCCGGUCCUCAUCCUUCUCCCACCUCAGCCUGCCCCUCCUCUUGCCCCUCCUCUCCCUCCUCCUCCUGCUCCUCCUCCCGACCCACCUCCUGCUCCUCCUCUGCUCAACUGGACAUUAGCAGGGCCGUUUCUCACGCUUCUCCUUCCUCUCUCCCCACUGCUGGACAGCAGCCGCUGUCCUCUUUCUUCUCCUCCCCUCUGGGUUCAUGCCCCAAGGCGCCGCAACCUCGCGCGCUGGGCUCAGCUUUGCCCUGUGGCAGUGCCACCGGAGCCAGAUCAGAUUGCUGGCAUCUGCCUUGGGGCAGCCCUGCCUUCUCCUCAGAGGCCACCGUCAACCUCCACUGACGGCACCUACACCCCCUACACGUCUAUAGGAACACACGUCUUGUAACACCUGAGCACGUCCUGCUCCAAAGGGACUAGCCAGCCGGUCCGAGGGAGAUGGCAGAAAAUGACAGCUGCUAAAACAAAGGCCGCUCAGCCAAUCACUGAGCGCUACGCAAACCCGUGGCUUACAAAGUGCCACAAAAUGGAGGCUCCCCCCUAUGGAAUGUGGACUGAAACAAAAUGGCGCCCCUGCAGUUUCACAAAAUGGCGGCAGCUCCCUGUGAAAGGCAGACUGAAAGAAAAUGGCGCCUCCCUAUGUAGGUAAAGGGGAGGGAUUUCCUGUCCGGGCCACCCCUCCCUUUGGGCAGGCCCAGUAGCGCUGGGACCUCCCCUUCACUCCCAAAACAUUCCUUGCCCUGGCAUGCACUCUGCGCAGUGUGCCUCCAGCUGGUAGCUGGGAAGAGCUGCAGGAUGGAGGCGCCGCUCAGCAGAGCACCACCACCCGCAGAAGCAGCAGCAGCAGCAGCAGCUGCACGCUCCACACUGCUCGGCGUCUCGCCGGCCGAGCGGUAGGGGGAGCUCAUCUGCCCGCUGUGUGUAGUCAGGUGAGCCUGAAGCGGUAAAGUCGGCGAGCGGGACCCCAGAUAGCGGUGAGCGUGGGGAGGUGUUUGUUGGCCCCUUUCUAGGCGGCCAGGUGGGCCCUUCCUGUUCUUCACCGGGAAGGUGAGAGAACAAGUGACCUGCACACCCUGACCGUGUUUGUGCGAUUUGAACUGCUGUGGUGCUUGUGUCCAGGUGCUUUCUUUUCUCGGCGUUACAGGUCACGUGCCGGGCAAGAAAACACAGCCGCUGCAAAAACAAAUGCAGCUGGUAGAACAGUCUUGUGCCCACCUGGUCCACGGGUCACUUAGUGAUGGCCUUAAGCAAUCCUUCCGCUUGCCAUAAGCGCACGCCGGGAGUCACCUGAGCUUUCGGCACAAAGGCUGGGGCAGAUGUAACCACCACUUUCUGCUGCUGAGGAGCUCCUCCAACCAAUGCUGUCUUUCCUGGGUGUGCCUGCUGGAUUUCUGCAUUCACGCAGUUCAGCAAAAGCUUGUCUGGAAAGAACAGACUGCCCCGUUGACGCCCACGCUUUUAGGAGUACGUACACGUAUCUAAUGUUGUUAUUAUCUUGAUACACGUGUGUCUGUUUGCUAGCGUUGUCGUGGUUUAGCCCCGCAGACUGAUAAACAGCCCUGUCUCACCGGCCCCAGGUCGGGAGCGGGGACAAAGGCGGGAAGGCAACGGUGCGAGAACUCAGGGGGCUGAGAGCAAGACACCGUACUAGGGAAAGCAAAAACCAGGCCCGCACAACCAGGAAAACGGGGGACACAUUCCCUGCAUGCCAUCGGCAGGCCGAUAUUCAGCCACAUCCAGGAACAGCGCGCUCAGUGCACGUAACCAUCUCUUGGGAAGGCAAGAGCAUCCAUCCCACCAUGACCCAUUCCUCCUGCUUGACACACGCUUUCAUUGCCGAGCGUGACAUCCCGGCCCGUUUGGGCCGGCUGUGUGGCUCCGUCUCCUGGCUGUGGCUGCUCCCAGCUUCUGCUCUGUCCCCUGCCUCCUCGCUGGAUGAACAGCACAAGAAGCAGAAAAGUCCUUGGCUCUGUGCAAGCACUGCUCUGCAGCAGCCAAAAGCACGCGUGUGUUAGCACCUCUGUUUUCACGAAAAGAAUCCAAUAACCAGCACCCGUGAGACUCUGCCAGGCCACGGCACUCAAUCCCAGGCCAAAUCACAACAACUAAAGUACUGCAGUCAGAGAGCAGUGCAGUCUCGGGAGCACCUACUUGUAAGGAAAUGAAAUAGAUUUACUAGCAUGUACCAAGUGCGCUCUCUAGAUGUCGAUGAGAGUGCAUUUUGCUGUACGGCUCCCAGCUUGGCCGGCAGCCCCUUGCCAUCACAGCCCCCCUCUAACUCUCUGUCCUCUGCAGGAUCGGGUGCACAGUAAGUUGGGCAAUCUCCAGCGUUAACACUAACACAGGGAGCUCACUAUACCAAUCACCCUCACAGGCAAAACAAUCUCAACGCGCACUGAGUGGAUUUACAUUACUGCCAAUUGCAAACAGCGGCGGACAGCAAGGAACAAAACCACUUUCCACCUCUCCUCCUCUCGCUACUUCCCAGGCUCCCUUUCUCUCCUUAAUACUCAGUUCCCAGACCUCACCUCCCCACGUGCCUGCCUCGGGACCCACAGCCAUCACAGGCGGUCCGUCACAGCUCCUCCCUGAUGCUCCUUCCUCCUAACACUUCUCCCCAGCACCCACGCGGGCAAACGGAGGGCUGCUGCUUCCCUCGGGACACAUCAGCCUGCUCUGGCAUGCUCUCCUCCUUGGGCUGCAGGGGAAGCUCUGCUCCAGCUCCUGGAGCACCUCUUCCCGCUCCUCCCGCUCCUCCUGCUCUGCCUCCUCCUCCUCCCGGUCCUCAUCCUUCUCCCACCUCAGCCUGCCCCUCCUCUUGCCCCUCCUCUCCCUCCUCCUCCUGCUCCUCCUCCCGACCCACCUCCUGCUCCUCCUCUGCUCAACUGGACAUUAGCAGGGCCGUUUCUCACGCUUCUCCUUCCUCUCUCCCCACUGCUGGACAGCAGCCGCUGUCCUCUUUCUUCUCCUCCCCUCUGGGUUCAUGCCCCAAGGCACCGCAACCUCGCGCGCUGGGCUCAGCUUUGCCCUGUGGCAGUGCCACCGGAGCCAGAUCAGAUUGCUGGCAUCUGCCUUGGGGCAGCCCUGCCUUCUCCUCAGAGGCCACCGUCAACCUCCACUGACGGCACCUACACCCCCUACACGUCUAUAGGAACACACGUCUUGUAACACCUGAGCACGUCCUGCUCCAAAGGGACUAGCCAGCCGGUCCGAGGGAGAUGGCAGAAAAUGACAGCUGCUAAAACAAAGGCCGCUCAGCCAAUCACUGAGCGCUACGCAAACCCGUGGCUUACAAAGUGCCACAAAAUGGAGGCUCCCCCCUAUGGAAUGUGGACUGAAACAAAAUGGCGCCCCUGCAGUUUCACAAAAUGGCGGCAGCUCCCUGUGAAAGGCAGACUGAAAGAAAAUGGCGCCUCCCUAUGUAGGUAAAGGGGAGGGAUUUCCUGUCCGGGCCACCCCUCCCUUUGGGCAGGCCCAGUAGCGCUGGGACCUCCCCUUCACUCCCAAAACAUUCCUUGCCCUGGCAUGCACUCUGCGCAGUGUGCCUCCAGCUGGUAGCUGGGAAGAGCUGCAGGAUGGAGGCGCCGCUCAGCAGAGCACCACCACCCGCAGAAGCAGCAGCAGCAGCAGCAGCUGCACGCUCCACACUGCUCGGCGUCUCGCCGGCCGAGCGGUAGGGGGAGCUCAUCUGCCCGCUGUGUGUAGUCAGGUGAGCCUGAAGCGGUAAAGUCGGCGAGCGGGACCCCAGAUAGCGGUGAGCGUGGGGAGGUGUUUUGUUGGCCCCUUUCUAGGCGGCCAGGUGGGCCCUUCCUGUUCUUCACCGGGAAGGUGAGAGAACAAGUGACCUGCACACCCUGACCGUGUUUGUGCGAUUUGAACUGCUGUGGUGCUUGUGUCCAGGUGCUUUCUUUUCUCGGCGUUACAGGUCACGUGCCGGGCAAGAAAACACAGCCGCUGCAAAAACAAAUGCAGCUGGUAGAACAGUCUUGUGCCCACCUGGUCCACGGGUCACUUAGUGAUGGCCUUAAGCAAUCCUUCCGCUUGCCAUAAGCGCACGCCGGGAGUCACCUGAGCUUUCGGCACAAAGGCUGGGGCAGAUGUAACCACCACUUUCUGCUGCUGAGGAGCUCCUCCAACCAAUGCUGUCUUUCCUGGGUGUGCCUGCUGAAUUUCUGCAUUCACGCAGUUCAGCAAAAGCUUGUCUGGAAAGAACAGACUGCCCCGUUGACGCCCACGCUUUUAGGAGUACGUACACGUAUCUAAUGUUGUUAUUAUCUUGAUACACGUGUGUCUGUUUGCUAGCGUUGUCGUGGUUUAGCCCCGCAGACUGAUAAACAGCCCUGUCUCACCGGCCCCAGGUCGGGAGCGGGGACAAAGGCGGGAAGGCAACGGUGCGAGAACUCAGGGGGCUGAGAGCAAGACACCGUACUAGGGAAAGCAAAAACCAGGCCCGCACAACCAGGAAAACGGGGGACACAUUCCCUGCAUGCCAUCGGCAGGCCGAUAUUCAGCCACAUCCAGGAACAGCGCGCUCACUGCACGUAACCAUCUCUUGGGAAGGCAAGAGCAUCCAUCCCACCAUGACCCAUUCCUCCUGCUUGACACACGCUUUCAUUGCCGAGCGUGACAUCCCGGCCCGUUUGGGCCGGCUGUGUGGCUCCGUCUCCUGGCUGUGGCUGCUCCCAGCUUCUGCUCUGUCCCCUGCCUCCUCGCUGGAUGAACAGCACAAGAAGCAGAAAAGUCCUUGGCUCUGUGCAAGCACUGCUCUGCAGCAGCCAAAAGCACGCGUGUGUUAGCACCUCUGUUUUCACGAAAAGAAUCCAAUAACCAGCACCCGUGAGACUCUGCCAGGCCACGGCACUCAAUCCCAGGCCAAAUCACAACAACUAAAGUACUGCAGUCAGAGAGCAGUGCAGUCUCGGGAGCACCUACUUGUAAGGAAAUGAAAUAGAUUUACUAGCAUGUACCAAGUGCGCUCUCUAGAUGUCGAUGAGAGUGCAUUUUGCUGUACGGCUCCCAGCUUGGCCGGCAGCCCCUUGCCAUCACAGCCCCCCUCUAACUCUCUGUCCUCAGCAGGAUCGGGUGCACAGUAAGUUGGGCAAUCUCCAGCGUUAACACUAACACAGGGAGCUCACUAUACCAAUCACCCUCACAGGCAAAACAAUCUCAACGCGCACUGAGUGGAUUUACAUUACUGCCAAUUGCAAACAGCGGCGGACAGCAAGGAACAAAACCACUUUCCACCUCUCCUCCUCUCGCUACUUCCCAGGCUCCCUUUCUCUCCUUAAUACUCAGUUCCCAGACCUCACCUCCCCACGUGCCUGCCUCGGGACCCACAGCCAUCACAGGCGGUCCGUCACAGCUCCUCCCUGAUGCUCCUUCCUCCUAACACUUCUCCCCAGCACCCACGCGGGCAAACGGAGGGCUGCUGCUUCCCUCGGGACACAUCAGCCUGCUCUGGCAUGCUCUCCUCCUUGGGCUGCAGGGGAAGCUCUGCUCCAGCUCCUGGAGCACCUCUUCCCGCUCCUCACGCUCCUCCUGCUCUGCCUCCUCCUCCUCCCGGUCCUCAUCCUUCUCCCACCUCAGCCUGCCCCUCCUCUUGCCCCUCCUCUCCCUCCUCCUCCUGCUCCUCCUCCCGACCCACCUCCUGCUCCUCCUCUGCUCAACUGGACAUUAGCAGGGCCGUUUCUCACGCUUCUCCUUCCUCUCUCCCCACUGCUGGACAGCAGCCGCUGUCCUCUUUCUUCUCCUCCCCUCUGGGUUCAUGCCCCAAGGCACCGCAACCUCGCGCGCUGGGCUCAGCUUUGCCCUGUGGCAGUGCCACCGGAGCCAGAUCAGAUUGCUGGCAUCUGCCUUGGGGCAGCCCUGCCUUCUCCUCAGAGGCCACCGUCAACCUCCACUGACGGCACCUACACCCCCUACACGUCUAUAGGAACACACGUCUUGUAAUACCUGAGCACGUCCUGCUCCAAAGGGACUAGCCAGCCGGUCCGAGGGAGAUGGCAGAAAAUGACAGCUGCUAAAACAAAGGCCGCUCAGCCAAUCACUGAGCGCUACGCAAACCCGUGGCUUACAAAGUGCCACAAAAUGGAGGCUCCCCCCUAUGGAAUGUGGACUGAAACAAAAUGGCGCCCCUGCAGUUUCACAAAAUGGCGGCAGCUCCCUGUGAAAGGCAGACUGAAAGAAAAUGGCGCCUCCCUAUGUAGGUAAAGGGGAGGGAUUUCCUGUCCGGGCCACCCCUCCCUUUGGGCAGGCCCAGUAGCGCUGGGACCUCCCCUUCACUCCCAAAACAUUCCUUGCCCUGGCAUGCACUCUGCGCAGUGUGCCUCCAGCUGGUAGCUGGGAAGAGCUGCAGGAUGGAGGCGCCGCUCAGCAGAGCACCACCACCCGCAGAAGCAGCAGCAGCAGCAGCAGCUGCACGCUCCACACUGCUCGGCGUCUCGCCGGCCGAGCGGUAGGGGGAGCUCAUCUGCCCGCUGUGUGUAGUCAGGUCACGUGCCGGGCAAGAAAACACAGCCGCUGCAAAAACAAAUGCAGCUGGUAGAACAGUCUUGUGCCCACCUGGUCCACGGGUCACUUAGUGAUGGCCUUAAGCAAUCCUUCCGCUUGCCAUAAGCGCACGCCGGGAGUCACCUGAGCUUUCGGCACAAAGGCUGGGGCAGAUGUAACCACCACUUUCUGCUGCUGAGGAGCUCCUCCAACCAAUGCUGUCUUUCCUGGGUGUGCCUGCUGGAUUUCUGCAUUCACGCAGUUCAGCAAAAGCUUGUCUGGAAAGAACAGACUGCCCCGUUGACGCCCACGCUUUUAGGAGUACGUACACGUAUCUAAUGUUGUUAUUAUCUUGAUACACGUGUGUCUGUUUGCUAGCGUUGUCGUGGUUUAGCCCCGCAGACUGAUAAACAGCCCUGUCUCACCGGCCCCAGGUCGGGAGCGGGGACAAAGGCGGGAAGGCAACGGUGCGAGAACUCAGGGGGCUGAGAGCAAGACACCGUACUAGGGAAAGCAAAAACCAGGCCCGCACAACCAGGAAAACGGGGGGACACAUUCCCUGCAUGCCAUCGGCAGGCCGAUAUUCAGCCACAUCCAGGAACAGCGCGCUCAGCUGCACGUAACCAUCUCUUGGGAAGGCAAGAGCAUCCAUCCCACCAUGACCCAUUCCUCCUGCUUGACACACGCUUUCAUUGCCGAGCGUGACAUCCCGGCCCGUUUGGGCCGGCUGUGUGGCUCCGUCUCCUGGCUGUGGCUGCUCCCAGCUUCUGCUCUGUCCCCUGCCUCCUCGCUGGAUGAACAGCACAAGAAGCAGAAAAGUCCUUGGCUCUGUGCAAGCACUGCUCUGCAGCAGCCAAAAGCACGCGUGUGUUAGCACCUCUGUUUUCACGAAAAGAAUCCAAUAACCAGCACCCGUGAGACUCUGCCAGGCCACGGCACUCAAUCCCAGGCCAAAUCACAACAACUAAAGUACUGCAGUCAGAGAGCAGUGCAGUCUCGGGAGCACCUACUUGUAAGGAAAUGAAAUAGAUUUACUAGCAUGUACCAAGUGCGCUCUCUAGAUGUCGAUGAGAGUGCAUUUUGCUGUACGGCUCCCAGCUUGGCCGGCAGCCCCUUGCCAUCACAGCCCCCCUCUAACUCUCUGUCCUCAGCAGGAUCGGGUGCACAGUAAGUUGGGCAAUCUCCAGCGUUAACACUAACACAGGGAGCUCACUAUACCAAUCACCCUCACAGGCAAAACAAUCUCAACGCGCACUGAGUGGAUUUACAUUACUGCCAAUUGCAAACAGCGGCGGACAGCAAGGAACAAAACCACUUUCCACCUCUCCUCCUCUCGCUACUUCCCAGGCUCCCUUUCUCUCCUUAAUACUCAGUUCCCAGACCUCACCUCCCCACGUGCCUGCCUCGGGACCCACAGCCAUCACAGGCGGUCCGUCACAGCUCCUCCCUGAUGCUCCUUCCUCCUAACACUUCUCCCCAGCACCCACGCGGGCAAACGGAGGGCUGCUGCUUCCCUCGGGACACAUCAGCCUGCUCUGGCAUGCUCUCCUCCUUGGGCUGCAGGGGAAGCUCUGCUCCAGCUCCUGGAGCACCUCUUCCCGCUCCUCCCGCUCCUCCUGCUCUGCCUCCUCCUCCUCCCGGUCCUCAUCCUUCUCCCACCUCAGCCUGCCCCUCCUCUUGCCCCUCCUCUCCCUCCUCCUCCUGCUCCUCCUCCCGACCCACCUCCUGCUCCUCCUCUGCUCAACUGGACAUUAGCAGGGCCGUUUCUCACGCUUCUCCUUCCUCUCUCCCCACUGCUGGACAGCAGCCGCUGUCCUCUUUCUUCUCCUCCCCUCUGGGUUCAUGCCCCAAGGCGCCGCAACCUCGCGCGCUGGGCUCAGCUUUGCCCUGUGGCAGUGCCACCGGAGCCAGAUCAGAUUGCUGGCAUCUGCCUUGGGGCAGCCCUGCCUUCUCCUCAGAGGCCACCGUCAACCUCCACUGACGGCACCUACACCCCCUACACGUCUAUAGGAACACACGUCUUGUAACACCUGAGCACGUCCUGCUCCAAAGGGACUAGCCAGCCGGUCCGAGGGAGAUGGCAGAAAAUGACAGCUGCUAAAACAAAGGCCGCUCAGCCAAUCACUGAGCGCUACGCAAACCCGUGGCUUACAAAGUGCCACAAAAUGGAGGCUCCCCCCUAUGGAAUGUGGACUGAAACAAAAUGGCGCCCCUGCAGUUUCACAAAAUGGCGGCAGCUCCCUGUGAAAGGCAGACUGAAAGAAAAUGGCGCCUCCCUAUGUAGGUAAAGGGGAGGGAUUUCCUGUCCGGGCCACCCCUCCCUUUGGGCAGGCCCAGUAGCGCUGGGACCUCCCCUUCACUCCCAAAACAUUCCUUGCCCUGGCAUGCACUCUGCGCAGUGUGCCUCCAGCUGGUAGCUGGGAAGAGCUGCAGGAUGGAGGCGCCGCUCAGCAGAGCACCACCACCCGCAGAAGCAGCAGCAGCAGCAGCAGCUGCACGCUCCACACUGCUCGGCGUCUCGCCGGCCGAGCGGUAGGGGGAGCUCAUCUGCCCGCUGUGUGUAGUCAGGUGAGCCUGAAGCGGUAAAGUCGGCGAGCGGGACCCCAGAUAGCGGUGAGCGUGGGGAGGUGUUUGUUGGCCCCUUUCUAGGCGGCCAGGUGGGCCCUUCCUGUUCUUCACCGGGAAGGUGAGAGAACAAGUGACCUGCACACCCUGACCGUGUUUGUGCGAUUUGAACUGCUGUGGUGCUUGUGUCCAGGUGCUUUCUUUUCUCGGCGUUACAGGUCACGUGCCGGGCAAGAAAACACAGCCGCUGCAAAAACAAAUGCAGCUGGUAGAACAGUCUUGUGCCCACCUGGUCCACGGGUCACUUAGUGAUGGCCUUAAGCAAUCCUUCCGCUUGCCAUAAGCGCACGCCGGGAGUCACCUGAGCUUUCGGCACAAAGGCUGGGGCAGAUGUAACCACCACUUUCUGCUGCUGAGGAGCUCCUCCAACCAAUGCUGUCUUUCCUGGGUGUGCCUGCUGAAUUUCUGCAUUCACGCAGUUCAGCAAAAGCUUGUCUGGAAAGAACAGACUGCCCCGUUGACGCCCACGCUUUUAGGAGUACGUACACGUAUCUAAUGUUGUUAUUAUCUUGAUACACGUGUGUCUGUUUGCUAGCGUUGUCGUGGUUUAGCCCCGCAGACUGAUAAACAGCCCUGUCUCACCGGCCCCAGGUCGGGAGCGGGGACAAAGGCGGGAAGGCAACGGUGCGAGAACUCAGGGGGCUGAGAGCAAGACACCGUACUAGGGAAAGCAAAAACCAGGCCCGCACAACCAGGAAAACGGGGGACACAUUCCCUGCAUGCCAUCGGCAGGCCGAUAUUCAGCCACAUCCAGGAACAGCGCGCUCAGUGCACGUAACCAUCUCUUGGGAAGGCAAGAGCAUCCAUCCCACCAUGACCCAUUCCUCCUGCUUGACACACGCUUUCAUUGCCGAGCGUGACAUCCCGGCCCGUUUGGGCCGGCUGUGUGGCUCCGUCUCCUGGCUCUGGCUGCUCCCAGCUUCUGCUCUGUCCCCUGCCUCCUCGCUGGAUGAACAGCACAAGAAGCAGAAAAGUCCUUGGCUCUGUGCAAGCACUGCUCUGCAGCAGCCAAAAGCACGCGUGUGUUAGCACCUCUGUUUUCACGAAAAGAAUCCAAUAACCAGCACCCGUGAGACUCUGCCAGGCCACGGCACUCAAUCCCAGGCCAAAUCACAACAACUAAAGUACUGCAGUCAGAGAGCAGUGCAGUCUCGGGAGCACCUACUUGUAAGGAAAUGAAAUAGAUUUACUAGCAUGUACCAAGUGCGCUCUCUAGAUGUCGAUGAGAGUGCAUUUUGCUGUACGGCUCCCAGCUUGGCCGGCAGCCCCUUGCCAUCACAGCCCCCCUCUAACUCUCUGUCCUCAGCAGGAUCGGGUGCACAGUAAGUUGGGCAAUCUCCAGCGUUAACACUAACACAGGGAGCUCACUAUACCAAUCACCCUCACAGGCAAAACAAUCUCAACGCGCACUGAGUGGAUUUACAUUACUGCCACUUGCAAACAGCGACGGACAGCAAGGAACAAAACCACUUUCCACCUCUCCUCCUCUCGCUACUUCCCAGGCUCCCUUUCUCUCCUUAAUACUCAGUUCCCAGACCUCACCUCCCCACGUGCCUGCCUCGGGACCCACAGCCAUCACAGGCGGUCCGUCACAGCUCCUCCCUGAUGCUCCUUCCUCCUAACACUUCUCCCCAGCACCCACGCGGGCAAACGGAGGGCUGCUGCUUCCCUCGGGACACAUCAGCCUGCUCUGGCAUGCUCUCCUCCUUGGGCUGCAGGGGAAGCUCUGCUCCAGCUCCUGGAGCACCUCUUCCCGCUCCUCCCGCUCCUCCUGCUCUGCCUCCUCCUCCUCCCGGUCCUCAUCCUUCUCCCACCUCAGCCUGCCCCUCCUCUUGCCCCUCCUCUCCCUCCUCCUCCUGCUCCUCCUCCCGACCCACCUCCUGCUCCUCCUCUGCUCAACUGGACAUUAGCAGGGCCGUUUCUCACGCUUCUCCUUCCUCUCUCCCCACUGCUGGACAGCAGCCGCUGUCCUCUUUCUUCUCCUCCCCUCUGGGUUCAUGCCCCAAGGCGCCGCAACCUCGCGCGCUGGGCUCAGCUUUGCCCUGUGGCAGUGCCACCGGAGCCAGAUCAGAUUGCUGGCAUCUGCCUUGGGGCAGCCCUGCCUUCUCCUCAGAGGCCACCGUCAACCUCCACUGACGGCACCUACACCCCCUACACGUCUAUAGGAACACACGUCUUGUAACACCUGAGCACGUCCUGCUCCAAAGGGACUAGCCAGCCGGUCCGAGGGAGAUGGCAGAAAAUGACAGCUGCUAAAACAAAGGCCGCUCAGCCAAUCACUGAGCGCUACGCAAACCCGUGGCUUACAAAGUGCCACAAAAUGGAGGCUCCCCCCUAUGGAAUGUGGACUGAAACAAAAUGGCGCCCCUGCAGUUUCACAAAAUGGCGGCAGCUCCCUGUGAAAGGCAGACUGAAAGAAAAUGGCGCCUCCCUAUGUAGGUAAAGGGGAGGGAUUUCCUGUCCGGGCCACCCCUCCCUUUGGGCAGGCCCAGUAGCGCUGGGACCUCCCCUUCACUCCCAAAACAUUCCUUGCCCUGGCAUGCACUCUGCGCAGUGUGCCUCCAGCUGGUAGCUGGGAAGAGCUGCAGGAUGGAGGCGCCGCUCAGCAGAGCACCACCACCCGCAGAAGCAGCAGCAGCAGCAGCAGCUGCACGCUCCACACUGCUCGGCGUCUCGCCGGCCGAGCGGUAGGGGGAGCUCAUCUGCCCGCUGUGUGUAGUCAGGUGAGCCUGAAGCGGUAAAGUCGGCGAGCGGGACCCCAGAUAGCGGUGAGCGUGGGGAGGUGUUUGUUGGCCCCUUUCUAGGCGGCCAGGUGGGCCCUUCCUGUUCUUCACCGGGAAGGUGAGAGAACAAGUGACCUGCACACCCUGACCGUGUUUGUGCGAUUUGAACUGCUGUGGUGCUUGUGUCCAGGUGCUUUCUUUUCUCGGCGUUACAGGUCACGUGCCGGGCAAGAAAACACAGCCGCUGCAAAAACAAAUGCAGCUGGUAGAACAGUCUUGUGCCCACCUGGUCCACGGGUCACUUAGUGAUGGCCUUAAGCAAUCCUUCCGCUUGCCAUAAGCGCACGCCGGGAGUCACCUGAGCUUUCGGCACAAAGGCUGGGGCAGAUGUAACCACCACUUUCUGCUGCUGAGGAGCUCCUCCAACCAAUGCUGUCUUUCCUGGGUGUGCCUGCUGAAUUUCUGCAUUCACGCAGUUCAGCAAAAGCUUGUCUGGAAAGAACAGACUGCCCCGUUGACGCCCACGCUUUUAGGAGUACGUACACGUAUCUAAUGUUGUUAUUAUCUUGAUACACGUGUGUCUGUUUGCUAGCGUUGUCGUGGUUUAGCCCCGCAGACUGAUAAACAGCCCUGUCUCACCGGCCCCAGGUCGGGAGCGGGGACAAAGGCGGGAAGGCAACGGUGCGAGAACUCAGGGGGCUGAGAGCAAGACACCGUACUAGGGAAAGCAAAAACCAGGCCCGCACAACCAGGAAAACGGGGGACACAUUCCCUGCAUGCCAUCGGCAGGCCGAUAUUCAGCCACAUCCAGGAACAGCGCGCUCAGUGCACGUAACCAUCUCUUGGGAAGGCAAGAGCAUCCAUCCCACCAUGACCCAUUCCUCCUGCUUGACACACGCUUUCAUUGCCGAGCGUGACAUCCCGGCCCGUUUGGGCCGGCUGUGUGGCUCCGUCUCCUGGCUCUGGCUGCUCCCAGCUUCUGCUCUGUCCCCUGCCUCCUCGCUGGAUGAACAGCACAAGAAGCAGAAAAGUCCUUGGCUCUGUGCAAGCACUGCUCUGCAGCAGCCAAAAGCACGCGUGUGUUAGCACCUCUGUUUUCACGAAAAGAAUCCAAUAACCAGCACCCGUGAGACUCUGCCAGGCCACGGCACUCAAUCCCAGGCCAAAUCACAACAACUAAAGUACUGCAGUCAGAGAGCAGUGCAGUCUCGGGAGCACCUACUUGUAAGGAAAUGAAAUAGAUUUACUAGCAUGUACCAAGUGCGCUCUCUAGAUGUCGAUGAGAGUGCAUUUUGCUGUACGGCUCCCAGCUUGGCCGGCAGCCCCUUGCCAUCACAGCCCCCCUCUAACUCUCUGUCCUCAGCAGGAUCGGGUGCACAGUAAGUUGGGCAAUCUCCAGCGUUAACACUAACACAGGGAGCUCACUAUACCAAUCACCCUCACAGGCAAAACAAUCUCAACGCGCACUGAGUGGAUUUACAUUACUGCCAAUUGCAAACAGCGGCGGACAGCAAGGAACAAAACCACUUUCCACCUCUCCUCCUCUCGCUACUUCCCAGGCUCCCUUUCUCUCCUUAAUACUCAGUUCCCAGACCUCACCUCCCCACGUGCCUGCCUCGGGACCCACAGCCAUCACAGGCGGUCCGUCACAGCUCCUCCCUGAUGCUCCUUCCUCCUAACACUUCUCCCCAGCACCCACGCGGGCAAACGGAGGGCUGCUGCUUCCCUCGGGACACAUCAGCCUGCUCUGGCAUGCUCUCCUCCUUGGGCUGCAGGGGAAGCUCUGCUCCAGCUCCUGGAGCACCUCUUCCCGCUCCUCCCGCUCCUCCUGCUCUGCCUCCUCCUCCUCCCGGUCCUCAUCCUUCUCCCACCUCAGCCUGCCCCUCCUCUUGCCCCUCCUCUCCCUCCUCCUCCUGCUCCUCCUCCCGACCCACCUCCUGCUCCUCCUCUGCUCAACUGGACAUUAGCAGGGCCGUUUCUCACGCUUCUCCUUCCUCUCUCCCCACUGCUGGACAGCAGCCGCUGUCCUCUUUCUUCUCCUCCCCUCUGGGUUCAUGCCCCAAGGCGCCGCAACCUCGCGCGCUGGGCUCAGCUUUGCCCUGUGGCAGUGCCACCGGAGCCAGAUCAGAUUGCUGGCAUCUGCCUUGGGGCAGCCCUGCCUUCUCCUCAGAGGCCACCGUCAACCUCCACUGACGGCACCUACACCCCCUACACGUCUAUAGGAACACACGUCUUGUAACACCUGAGCACGUCCUGCUCCAAAGGGACUAGCCAGCCGGUCCGAGGGAGAUGGCAGAAAAUGACAGCUGCUAAAACAAAGGCCGCUCAGCCAAUCACUGAGCGCUACGCAAACCCGUGGCUUACAAAGUGCCACAAAAUGGAGGCUCCCCCCUAUGGAAUGUGGACUGAAACAAAAUGGCGCCCCUGCAGUUUCACAAAAUGGCGGCAGCUCCCUGUGAAAGGCAGACUGAAAGAAAAUGGCGCCUCCCUAUGUAGGUAAAGGGGAGGGAUUUCCUGUCCGGGCCACCCCUCCCUUUGGGCAGGCCCAGUAGCGCUGGGACCUCCCCUUCACUCCCAAAACAUUCCUUGCCCUGGCAUGCACUCUGCGCAGUGUGCCUCCAGCUGGUAGCUGGGAAGAGCUGCAGGAUGGAGGCGCCGCUCAGCAGAGCACCACCACCCGCAGAAGCAGCAGCAGCAGCAGCAGCUGCACGCUCCACACUGCUCGGCGUCUCGCCGGCCGAGCGGUAGGGGGAGCUCAUCUGCCCGCUGUGUGUAGUCAGGUGAGCCUGAAGCGGUAAAGUCGGCGAGCGGGACCCCAGAUAGCGGUGAGCGUGGGGAGGUGUUUGUUGGCCCCUUUCUAGGCGGCCAGGUGGGCCCUUCCUGUUCUUCACCGGGAAGGUGAGAGAACAAGUGACCUGCACACCCUGACCGUGUUUGUGCGAUUUGAACUGCUGUGGUGCUUGUGUCCAGGUGCUUUCUUUUCUCGGCGUUACAGGUCACGUGCCGGGCAAGAAAACACAGCCGCUGCAAAAACAAAUGCAGCUGGUAGAACAGUCUUGUGCCCACCUGGUCCACGGGUCACUUAGUGAUGGCCUUAAGCAAUCCUUCCGCUUGCCAUAAGCGCACGCCGGGAGUCACCUGAGCUUUCGGCACAAAGGCUGGGGCAGAUGUAACCACCACUUUCUGCUGCUGAGGAGCUCCUCCAACCAAUGCUGUCUUUCCUGGGUGUGCCUGCUGAAUUUCUGCAUUCACGCAGUUCAGCAAAAGCUUGUCUGGAAAGAACAGACUGCCCCGUUGACGCCCACGCUUUUAGGAGUACGUACACGUAUCUAAUGUUGUUAUUAUCUUGAUACACGUGUGUCUGUUUGCUAGCGUUGUCGUGGUUUAGCCCCGCAGACUGAUAAACAGCCCUGUCUCACCGGCCCCAGGUCGGGAGCGGGGACAAAGGCGGGAAGGCAACGGUGCGAGAACUCAGGGGGCUGAGAGCAAGACACCGUACUAGGGAAAGCAAAAACCAGGCCCGCACAACCAGGAAAACGGGGGACACAUUCCCUGCAUGCCAUCGGCAGGCCGAUAUUCAGCCACAUCCAGGAACAGCGCGCUCAGUGCACGUAACCAUCUCUUGGGAAGGCAAGAGCAUCCAUCCCACCAUGACCCAUUCCUCCUGCUUGACACACGCUUUCAUUGCCGAGCGUGACAUCCCGGCCCGUUUGGGCCGGCUGUGUGGCUCCGUCUCCUGGCUCUGGCUGCUCCCAGCUUCUGCUCUGUCCCCUGCCUCCUCGCUGGAUGAACAGCACAAGAAGCAGAAAAGUCCUUGGCUCUGUGCAAGCACUGCUCUGCAGCAGCCAAAAGCACGCGUGUGUUAGCACCUCUGUUUUCACGAAAAGAAUCCAAUAACCAGCACCCGUGAGACUCUGCCAGGCCACGGCACUCAAUCCCAGGCCAAAUCACAACAACUAAAGUACUGCAGUCAGAGAGCAGUGCAGUCUCGGGAGCACCUACUUGUAAGGAAAUGAAAUAGAUUUACUAGCAUGUACCAAGUGCGCUCUCUAGAUGUCGAUGAGAGUGCAUUUUGCUGUACGGCUCCCAGCUUGGCCGGCAGCCCCUUGCCAUCACAGCCCCCCUCUAACUCUCUGUCCUCAGCAGGAUCGGGUGCACAGUAAGUUGGGCAAUCUCCAGCGUUAACACUAACACAGGGAGCUCACUAUACCAAUCACCCUCACAGGCAAAACAAUCUCAACGCGCACUGAGUGGAUUUACAUUACUGCCAAUUGCAAACAGCGGCGGACAGCAAGGAACAAAACCACUUUCCACCUCUCCUCCUCUCGCUACUUCCCAGGCUCCCUUUCUCUCCUUAAUACUCAGUUCCCAGACCUCACCUCCCCACGUGCCUGCCUCGGGACCCACAGCCAUCACAGGCGGUCCGUCACAGCUCCUCCCUGAUGCUCCUUCCUCCUAACACUUCUCCCCAGCACCCACGCGGGCAAACGGAGGGCUGCUGCUUCCCUCGGGACACAUCAGCCUGCUCUGGCAUGCUCUCCUCCUUGGGCUGCAGGGGAAGCUCUGCUCCAGCUCCUGGAGCACCUCUUCCCGCUCCUCCCGCUCCUCCUGCUCUGCCUCCUCCUCCUCCCGGUCCUCAUCCUUCUCCCACCUCAGCCUGCCCCUCCUCUUGCCCCUCCUCUCCCUCCUCCUCCUGCUCCUCCUCCCGACCCACCUCCUGCUCCUCCUCUGCUCAACUGGACAUUAGCAGGGCCGUUUCUCACGCUUCUCCUUCCUCUCUCCCCACUGCUGGACAGCAGCCGCUGUCCUCUUUCUUCUCCUCCCCUCUGGGUUCAUGCCCCAAGGCGCCGCAACCUCGCGCGCUGGGCUCAGCUUUGCCCUGUGGCAGUGCCACCGGAGCCAGAUCAGAUUGCUGGCAUCUGCCUUGGGGCAGCCCUGCCUUCUCCUCAGAGGCCACCGUCAACCUCCACUGACGGCACCUACACCCCCUACACGUCUAUAGGAACACACGUCUUGUAACACCUGAGCACGUCCUGCUCCAAAGGGACUAGCCAGCCGGUCCGAGGGAGAUGGCAGAAAAUGACAGCUGCUAAAACAAAGGCCGCUCAGCCAAUCACUGAGCGCUACGCAAACCCGUGGCUUACCAAGUGCCACAAAAUGGAGGCUCCCCCCUAUGGAAUGUGGACUGAAACAAAAUGGCGCCCCUGCAGUUUCACAAAAUGGCGGCAGCUCCCUGUGAAAGGCAGACUGAAAGAAAAUGGCGCCUCCCUAUGUAGGUAAAGGGGAGGGAUUUCCUGUCCGGGCCACCCCUCCCUUUGGGCAGGCCCAGUAGCGCUGGGACCUCCCCUUCACUCCCAAAACAUUCCUUGCCCUGGCAUGCACUCUGCGCAGUGUGCCUCCAGCUGGUAGCUGGGAAGAGCUGCAGGAUGGAGGCGCCGCUCAGCAGAGCACCACCACCCGCAGAAGCAGCAGCAGCAGCAGCAGCUGCACGCUCCACACUGCUCGGCGUCUCGCCGGCCGAGCGGUAGGGGGAGCUCAUCUGCCCGCUGUGUGUAGUCAGGUGAGCCUGAAGCGGUAAAGUCGGCGAGCGGGACCCCAGAUAGCGGUGAGCGUGGGGAGGUGUUUGUUGGCCCCUUUCUAGGCGGCCAGGUGGGCCCUUCCUGUUCUUCACCGGGAAGGUGAGAGAACAAGUGACCUGCACACCCUGACCGUGUUUGUGCGAUUUGAACUGCUGUGGUGCUUGUGUCCAGGUGCUUUCUUUUCUCGGCGUUACAGGUCACGUGCCGGGCAAGAAAACACAGCCGCUGCAAAAACAAAUGCAGCUGGUAGAACAGUCUUGUGCCCACCUGGUCCACGGGUCACUUAGUGAUGGCCUUAAGCAAUCCUUCCGCUUGCCAUAAGCGCACGCCGGGAGUCACCUGAGCUUUCGGCACAAAGGCUGGGGCAGAUGUAACCACCACUUUCUGCUGCUGAGGAGCUCCUCCAACCAAUGCUGUCUUUCCUGGGUGUGCCUGCUGAAUUUCUGCAUUCACGCAGUUCAGCAAAAGCUUGUCUGGAAAGAACAGACUGCCCCGUUGACGCCCACGCUUUUAGGAGUACGUACACGUAUCUAAUGUUGUUAUUAUCUUGAUACACGUGUGUCUGUUUGCUAGCGUUGUCGUGGUUUAGCCCCGCAGACUGAUAAACAGCCCUGUCUCACCGGCCCCAGGUCGGGAGCGGGGACAAAGGCGGGAAGGCAACGGUGCGAGAACUCAGGGGGCUGAGAGCAAGACACCGUACUAGGGAAAGCAAAAACCAGGCCCGCACAACCAGGAAAACGGGGGACACAUUCCCUGCAUGCCAUCGGCAGGCCGAUAUUCAGCCACAUCCAGGAACAGCGCGCUCAGUGCACGUAACCAUCUCUUGGGAAGGCAAGAGCAUCCAUCCCACCAUGACCCAUUCCUCCUGCUUGACACACGCUUUCAUUGCCGAGCGUGACAUCCCGGCCCGUUUGGGCCGGCUGUGUGGCUCCGUCUCCUGGCUCUGGCUGCUCCCAGCUUCUGCUCUGUCCCCUGCCUCCUCGCUGGAUGAACAGCACAAGAAGCAGAAAAGUCCUUGGCUCUGUGCAAGCACUGCUCUGCAGCAGCCAAAAGCACGCGUGUGUUAGCACCUCUGUUUUCACGAAAAGAAUCCAAUAACCAGCACCCGUGAGACUCUGCCAGGCCACGGCACUCAAUCCCAGGCCAAAUCACAACAACUAAAGUACUGCAGUCAGAGAGCAGUGCAGUCUCGGGAGCACCUACUUGUAAGGAAAUGAAAUAGAUUUACUAGCAUGUACCAAGUGCGCUCUCUAGAUGUCGAUGAGAGUGCAUUUUGCUGUACGGCUCCCAGCUUGGCCGGCAGCCCCUUGCCAUCACAGCCCCCCUCUAACUCUCUGUCCUCAGCAGGAUCGGGUGCACAGUAAGUUGGGCAAUCUCCAGCGUUAACACUAACACAGGGAGCUCACUAUACCAAUCACCCUCACAGGCAAAACAAUCUCAACGCGCACUGAGUGGAUUUACAUUACUGCCAAUUGCAAACAGCGGCGGACAGCAAGGAACAAAACCACUUUCCACCUCUCCUCCUCUCGCUACUUCCCAGGCUCCCUUUCUCUCCUUAAUACUCAGUUCCCAGACCUCACCUCCCCACGUGCCUGCCUCGGGACCCACAGCCAUCACAGGCGGUCCGUCACAGCUCCUCCCUGAUGCUCCUUCCUCCUAACACUUCUCCCCAGCACCCACGCGGGCAAACGGAGGGCUGCUGCUUCCCUCGGGACACAUCAGCCUGCUCUGGCAUGCUCUCCUCCUUGGGCUGCAGGGGAAGCUCUGCUCCAGCUCCUGGAGCACCUCUUCCCGCUCCUCCCGCUCCUCCUGCUCUGCCUCCUCCUCCUCCCGGUCCUCAUCCUUCUCCCACCUCAGCCUGCCCCUCCUCUUGCCCCUCCUCUCCCUCCUCCUCCUGCUCCUCCUCCCGACCCACCUCCUGCUCCUCCUCUGCUCAACUGGACAUUAGCAGGGCCGUUUCUCACGCUUCUCCUUCCUCUCUCCCCACUGCUGGACAGCAGCCGCUGUCCUCUUUCUUCUCCUCCCCUCUGGGUUCAUGCCCCAAGGCGCCGCAACCUCGCGCGCUGGGCUCAGCUUUGCCCUGUGGCAGUGCCACCGGAGCCAGAUCAGAUUGCUGGCAUCUGCCUUGGGGCAGCCCUGCCUUCUCCUCAGAGGCCACCGUCAACCUCCACUGACGGCACCUACACCCCCUACACGUCUAUAGGAACACACGUCUUGUAACACCUGAGCACAUCCUGCUCCAAAGGGACUAGCCAGCCGGUCCGAGGGAGAUGGCAGAAAAUGACAGCUGCUAAAACAAAGGCCGCUCAGCCAAUCACUGAGCGCUACGCAAACCCGUGGCUUACCAAGUGCCACAAAAUGGAGGCUCCCCCCUAUGGAAUGUGGACUGAAACAAAAUGGCGCCCCUGCAGUUUCACAAAAUGGCGGCAGCUCCCUGUGAAAGGCAGACUGAAAGAAAAUGGCGCCUCCCUAUGUAGGUAAAGGGGAGGGAUUUCCUGUCCGGGCCACCCCUCCCUUUGGGCAGGCCCAGUAGCGCUGGGACCUCCCCUUCACUCCCAAAACAUUCCUUGCCCUGGCAUGCACUCUGCGCAGUGUGCCUCCAGCUGGUAGCUGGGAAGAGCUGCAGGAUGGAGGCGCCGCUCAGCAGAGCACCACCACCCGCAGAAGCAGCAGCAGCAGCAGCAGCUGCACGCUCCACACUGCUCGGCGUCUCGCCGGCCGAGCGGUAGGGGGAGCUCAUCUGCCCGCUGUGUGUAGUCAGGUGAGCCUGAAGCGGUAAAGUCGGCGAGCAGGACCCCAGAUAGCGGUGAGCGUGGGGAGGUGUUUGUUGGCCCCUUUCUAGGCGGCCAGGUGGGCCCUUCCUGUUCUUCACCGGGAAGGUGAGAGAACAAGUGACCUGCACACCCUGACCGUGUUUGUGCGAUUUGAACUGC